ensembl:lncRNA
AGGAUUAAGGCAAGAAGAGAAUACUAAGGUAUCAAGGAGGUAGGAAUUACAAAAAAAGCCGCCCUCUCCGGGGCUGGGGGAACAAGUGAAGAGGUUGAAAUUAUUAAAAUUUAGAAGAAACUUAGAGGAGGGAACUUACAGCAUUGAAACUCAGACCCCUGAGGAGCGGAAUUUUGUUCAGCUGGUGCUGUAAGCUUGGAGGAGCAUCCCCAUGUGGCUGGGACCAGACCUCCGAGGAGGGAGCACUGAUUGCACCAGAAUCGCAGAGUUUACAAGGAUGGGAUUGGAGUGGAAAGACGACCCAAAGUGGCAGGGCAACUGGUGAAUUUCAUUCAGUGACUGGCCAGAAGGACCCAGAGUUUAUUUUUUCCUACAAACUCAAUCAUGCCCAGAUGACUGCUGCCAUAGUCAACAUUGUGUUACCAGGCACCGGUCAGCUUGAACUCACAGAGCUCUUCAGGCCUGUCAUUUUCCUGGGUAUUCCUUCCAUCAGCUUCUCUUGCAGGCCUGGAUUUUCCUAUCAACAAAGACCUUGCAGAGUUCAUUAGUUGGAAUGGACACUUUGGGAUUCUGAGCAGCCCUUUACAACCCUCACUUUCUGUUCAGCCUUUCCAGCUGGUGACUCUUGGUAUUUAAAGUGCCUUUAAUUUUAUCCAACAGAUGUGUUAUGUCUCCUCAUUUUUUUUGCGAUUAUUUAUAAUGCUGAAUAUUCUUAAACAUGUAUUUUUGUAUGUAUGUAUGUAUAUUUCUUUAUCACAAAUACCUAGAAAUGGAAUUGCUAGAUUAAAGACUAUAUGACUUAAGAUUUUUCUAGACCUUGCUUAACAACUAUCCAUAAAGGCUAUAAAAAGUGGACAUUCCCACCAAAUGAGCAUAUAAAUAUCUCUUUUUCUCCCAUUUCCAGUAUUUCCCAUCUGACAUUUUGAAAUUUUAAAGGUUUUGCCAAUGUGAUAGGUAAAAAAUUACACCUAAUACCUGUUUUCAUUUUGCACCUCCUGGAUUUCUAACAAGGCUGAACAUCUUUCAUUAUAUUUGUUAAUUUCUAGUAUUUAUGUUUCUAGUGUAAGUAGCCUUUUCAAAUUCUUCACCCAUUUUUCCACCAUGUUGUUUAUCUGCUUCUCAAUAAUUUCUAGGAGCUCUUUGAAAAUUAAAGCAAUUAAUUUUUGUCAGUAAUAUUUUACAAAAUAUUUUUCUAAGUUUACCAACUGUUUUUUUUUUUUUUUGAUGAGGAACAUUCACACUGAGCUAACAUCUUUUGCCAAUCUUCAUCUUUUGCUUGAGGAAGAUUGUUGCUGAGCUAAAAUCUGUGCCCAUCUUCUGCUAUUUUGUAUGUGGGAUGCCUCCACAGCGUGGCUUGAUGAGCAGUGUGUAGGUCUGUGCCCGGGAUCUGAGCUGACGAACCCUGGGCAACCAAAGCAGAGCGUGUGGACUUAACUACUACAUUGCCAGGCUGGCCCCUGUCGAUUGGUUUCUAAACUCUAUGGAUUUUUAAAAUUUUUUUACUGUAUGGAAAUUUUGGAUUCUUAGAAAGUAAAAUUUUCAUGGAUUUUUUAGUGUCUUAUUAAGAAGAUUCCACUCAUGCAAGGACUACAAAUAUAUUCUUUAAAAAUUUCUUCUCCAUUCACAACAAAAUGGAUGGACCUUGAGGAUAUUAUGUUAAGCAAAAUAAGCCAGCUAGAGAACACUGUAUGAUUCCACUGAUAUUUGGAAGACAGACAAACACAUGGACGAAGAGAACUGUAU